rnacentral:rRNA from 1 species
UACAAGUUGUGCAAAUAAAAGUUCUUGGUUAAGUAGUUAAUUUUUUAUUUAUAAUUAUUAAAAAAAUUUUUAGGUGAAAUUUAAUUUUUUUAUAAAUUCUUAAUUUAUUUAUGAAGCUAUGAAAUUUUUUAAUAAACUA